rnacentral:rRNA from 1 species
UACGGAGGAUCCUAGCGUUAUCCGGAUUUAUUGGGUUUAAAGGGUGCGUAGGCGGCCUAUUAAGUCAGGGGUGAAAGACGGUAGCUUAACUAUCGCAGUGCCUUUGAUACUGAUGGGCUUGAAUGUACUUGAGGUAGGCGGAAUGUGGCAAGUAGCGGUGAAAUGCAUAGAUAUGACAUAGAACACCAAUUGCGAAGGCAGCUUACUACAGGGACAUUGACACUGAGGCACGAAAGCGUGGGGAUCAAACAGG